ACCACGCCGCCUCUAGAAUCGAAGGGGCCAGAUGAGAGAGGACCAUCGUUCCCCAUUUGGUUCCUCUACCUGCUCUCGAUCUCCUCCGAUUGAUGUCGCUUCCACCGAUAUAUAUUCGUCGAAUACGCACAAUUGCGGGAGGAAUUGGAUGACGAAGUUACCACUCAGGAGCAGGGGAGGGGUCCUUGUUGUUCCUCCUUGGCAGCAUCUCCGUUCCGACGCCGCCACCACGCCGGUCGACGACCGGCGCACCCUUGCCCCGCCACAGAGGUUUCUCCUGACUCCUGUCCCGGAGGAGCUGGUGGCUCCCGCCUUCUCCCCCAUCACGGCCGCCUCCCUCCACCUGCCUCCCAUCUGCGACACCCUCACGAGUGAGGGGAGCAGGGCCUGCAGCGCGGUUCCCCUGGAGAAAACUCCAAGCGCCAAUUCCAGCGUGUGGGAAGCAGGUAAUCUGUAGUAGCUAAGGUGAGUUGCUUUGCUCUAAUGGCCCAACAUUAUGCAGAUGUGCGUGGUGCAUUCCAGGUGCUUGUGGUAAUUCCUACACGUAGUUGCUCUGAACUUGGAUGGCACUUUGGUCCUGCCUAGUUGUCAUGUCCUGUUGGUUACCGUCUGCAGUGCAAGUUGAUCCAUCGCUGGUUGCAUAUGAUGACAAAAAUAAAACAAGGGAUCGAUCAUGGGAAUAUGUAUUCCCGUGACCAUGAAGCAAUGGUUGCAGAAACUCUUUACUCCAGCAACUGCAAGUACACUUUCAAGUAAUAGGGCCCCGACUUCAGAAGCAGACACCAAUCAUGAUAUUUUAGGGGAAACUGAAAUAUAAGAAGUUUGGACUCAUAAUAUAGAAUCAAGGACAAAAAAUCUCAUACCAGUCUUUGACGUUCUUAGCACAUCUAGGUAUCAAUAGACAAGGGCUAUGCGGCAAAGCUUCACGAGUUCUGUAGAAGGCAAGGCUGAGACGAUGGUGCUCAAGCUGGAGGUGAUACAAUGAGUUGAAGACGUGGAAGUGUUCGGAUGUUGUUGUCUUUUGGUUCGCCAGUAGAUGCAGAUGAUGCAGCAAGAGUGUCGGGUGUUUGGUUUCUUUUGGUU